rnacentral:rRNA from 1 species
GUGGGGAAUAUUGGACAAUGGGGGGAACCCUGAUCCAGCGACGCCGCGUGAGUGAAGAAGUAUUUCGGUAUGUAAAGCUCUAUCAGCAGGGAAGAAAGAAAUGACGGUACCUGACUAAGAAGCCCCGGCUAACUACGUGCC